rnacentral:lncRNA from 1 species
AUGUCUGAUGUUGAGUCAUCUAGUUAAGAAAUAUGUUGUAUGAAUGUUUUUGUAUCCUAGAGAACCUAAUGAAUUGCCUUCAAGAAAAGAAAAAGAUUUUGCUAAUGAUAUAGAAUUUAUGAGCAAGAAAUUUCAACUUGAAGGACACAUCGAUGAAAGAUACAAUAAACAUUCCCUUGCAAACAAAAAAGGGAGAGAUUUUCUUCAGCCAAGGGUGUAAAGAAUCUAAAAGGUAUUUGGCUUGAAGAAUGCUAAAUGUACUGGUAAUCUAAACUCUUCUCUUGCGAGUUAGU